AAAUUGAAGAGUUUGAUCAUGGCUCAGAUUGAACGCUGGCGGCAGGCCUAACACAUGCAAGUCGAGCGGAAACGAGUUAUCUGAACCUUCGGGGAACGAUAACGGCGUCGAGCGGCGGACGGGUGAGUAAUGCCUAGGAAAUUGCCCUGAUGUGGGGGAUAACCAUUGGAAACGAUGGCUAAUACCGCAUGAUGCCUACGGGCCAAAGAGGGGGACCUUCGGGCCUCUCGCGUCAGGAUAUGCCUAGGUGGGAUUAGCUAGUUGGUGAGGUAAGGGCUCACCAAGGCGACGAUCCCUAGCUGGUCUGAGAGGAUGAUCAGCCACACUGGAACUGAGACACGGUCCAGACUCCUACGGGAGGCAGCAGUGGGGAAUAUUGCACAAUGGGCGCAAGCCUGAUGCAGCCAUGCCGCGUGUGUGAAGAAGGCCUUCGGGUUGUAAAGCACUUUCAGUCGUGAGGAAGGUAGUGUAGUUAAUAGCACUA
rnacentral:rRNA from 1 species